rnacentral:rRNA from 1 species
CAAUAGCGUAUAUUAAAGUUGUUGCGGUUAAAAAGCUCGUAGUUGGAUCUCGGCAGGCAGGGGGUGGUUCGCUCUUAGCGCUACUGCCCCAUUUGCCUGUGUGAUUGGCGGAGGUUUCGGGGUGCUCUUCGUUGAGUGACCCGGGGCGCCGUCAGGUUUACUUUGAAAAAAUUAGAGUGCUCAAAGCAGGCUUUUCACGCUUGAAUAUUCGUGCAUGGAAUAAUGGAAUAGGAACUCGUUUCUAUUUUGUUGGUUUUCGGAAAUCGAGUUAAUGAUUAAUAGGGACAAUUGGGGGCAUUAGUAUUCAGACGACAGAGGUGAAAUUCUUGGACCGUCUGAAGACUAACUACUGCGAAAACAUUUGCCAAGAGUGUUUUCAUUAA